rnacentral:rRNA from 1 species
GUAGGUGGCAAGCGUUGUCCGGGAAUUAUUGGGGCGUAAAGCGCGCGCAGGCGGUUCUUUAAGUCUGAUGUGAAAGCCCACGGGCUCAACCGUGUAGGGUCAUUGGAAACUGGAGAACUUGAGUACAGAAGAGGAAAGCGGAAUUCCACGUGUAGCGGUGAAAUGCGUAGAGAUGUGGAGGAACACCAGUGGCGAAGGCGGCUUUCUGGUCUGUAACUGACGCUGAGGCGCGAAAGCGUGGGGAGCAAACAGGAUUAGAUACCCUGGUAGUCCACGCCGUAAACGAUGAGUGCUAAGUGUUAGGGGGUUUCCGCCCCUUAGUGCUGCAGCUAACGCAUUAAGCACUCCGCCUGGGGAGUACGGCCGCAAAGGCUG